GGAAGAGGUGGGGUUAAGCGUAAUUUGAGUAAAGCCCUUGAUUCUUUCCUUAAAGGAGCUGCUCGUGGGUCUACACUAGCUAUGGUGGAUGCUGGGUUACUUUAUUGGGAGUUGGGGAAAAGAGAAGAAGGGAUUAGUUUGUACAGAAAAGCUGCUGAGCUUGGUGACCCUGCUGGUCAGUGCAAUUUGGGGAUUUCUCUAUUGCAAGUGAAUCCUAUGGACCCCAAGGAAGCUGUUAAAUGGCUUUAUAAAGCUUCCGUUUCUGGUCAUGUUCGUGCUCAAUACCAGCUUGCACUUACUUUACAUAAAGGUCAUGGUCCGAAGAGAAAUCUCCAGGAAACGGCAAAGUGGUACUUGAGGGCAGCAGAAGGUGGAUAUGUCCGCGCUAUGUAUAACACAGCAUUAUGCUACUCGGUUGGAGAAGGUUUAAUGCAGUCUCAUGAAUUAUCAAGAAAAUGGAUGAAGAGAGCAGCUGAUCGAGGUCAUAGCAAAGCCCAGCUUGAGCAUGGGUUGAGUCUGUAUUCUGAUGGGGAUAGGAUGCAAGCUGUGGUAUAUCUGGAACUUGCUGCUCGCGCUGGUGAAGCUGCAGCUCAUCCCGUGAAAAAUGUUAUACUUCAACAGAUGUCGACUUUUUCUCGAGAUCACGCUAUGCUUCUUGUCAAUAGCUGGCGCUCUUUACCUUCAUCGCACUGAUAUAACCCUAUUAUCGUCAACUUCAUACAGUUCAAUCAAUGUAUAACUUUGACUUCUUGAAGUAACAGAAAUGUAAUAUAAGAUUUCAUUUUCC
rnacentral:misc_RNA from 1 species